ACGGGGUGCAGCAGGCGCGAAAACUUUACAAUGCGGGAAACCGUGAUAAGGGAACACCGAGUGCCAGCAUCAUAUGCUGGCUGUCCAGAUGUGUAAACUACAUCUGUUAGCAAGGGCCGGGCAAGACCGGUGCCAGCCGCCGCGGUAACACCGGCGGCCCGAGUGGUGACCGUUAUUAUUGGGUCUAAAGGGUCCGUAGCCGGUUUGGUCAGUCCUCCGGGAAAUCUGAUAGCUUAACUGUUAGGCUUUCGGGGGAUACUGCCAGGCUUGGAACCGGGAGAGGUAAGAGGUACUACAGGGGUAGGAGUGAAAUCUUGUAAUCCCUGUGAGACCACCUGUGGCGAAGGCGUCUUACCAGAACGGGUUCGACGGUGAGGGACGAAAGCUGGGGGCACGAACCGGAUUAGAUACCCGGGUAGUCCCAGCCGUAAACUAUGCUCGCUAGGUGUCAGGCAUGGCGCGACCGUGUCUGGUGCCGCAGGGAAGCCGUGAAGCGAGCCACCUGGGAAGUACGGCCGCAAGGCUGAAACUUAAAGGAAUUGGCGGGGGAGCAC
rnacentral:rRNA from 1 species